AUUACUAUAUAUUAUUUAUAUAUAUAAAUUGAACUGCGUUUUGAAUACUGAUAGCAAAAGAGCAGGUUGAGAUCAUCUGGCUAUCAUUGUAGGAAGUAUUUUACCUCCUUUUAUCACUUGUUCGCCUUGACUAUUUUUUUUUUCUUUUGCUUUUAUUUCUUCUUUUUUACUAUCGUUCCCGCGCACAUUUAUUUUUCAUUUCUUCAUCUUCCUAUCCACUUAGUAAGUAUUGAGACGCCUUAGGUGCAGAUCAUAAAUUGCGAGCAUCCUUGCUGUAAAUCUACAAAAAUAUGGCCGAAGGAAACAUGGUAGCUGUAGAUCCUACAGCUGAAGGAGAUAUGGAUGCUUAUUGGGAAUACAAAACACUUUGUGUACUCAGAAUAUAUAAGUGUACAGACUGCCUCCUUUCUCAUUCCUUGAUUAAGAAGAAAACCGCUCCUCCAAUGCCAAAAGUAAUGGAGUUUGUAAUGCCAAAAAAUAAGGAUAAAAAAUGUAUGGAAGCGUUUUUCAAUGCCCAUAUACUCGAUGUCGCCAAAUGGUAUACAAAGAGAAAAUCCUUGUGCCUACAAUCAAAUUGAGUUCAUUGUAAUAGAAAAAAGAUUCCAGGAGCAUGAGUCGAUUAAUCUAUAUUUUUGUGGCACUGUGUCUGCUAUCUUCGACGGCACUGAAGAGGUAUUGCAGCAGCACAAUUGGAGAUGGAAAGAGAAAGAAGAUCAGUUAUUAAAUAUUAACGAAUAAAUAUUUGGAUACACAUAUAUGAGUUCAUCUUGAAAUAUCAACGUGUCAAAACAUGUCGGGCGUGAUAGCCUUGGUAGUGUUCAUUUCGUUGGUUAAAAAGUAUGAUAAGUGAAUUAGACAUUCCCUUCACCAUGAUGCAUUCGUUUUAAUUCUGGAACUGUACGAAUUUUAGAUGAGUUUCCUUUCGAAUGUCAUGAGAAACUACAUAGUUCACAUGGUAAUUAACUGGAUAUCAUGGUCUCCGAAAGGUAUUCAACUCAAAAACUAGAAAGUUGUCAUUAGUUUUAAGGGUUCGUGAUCACUACAUUGUUUCUCAAUUGUAGCCUAAAAAAUUUUGUUUAAACUGAAAGUCAGUUCAAAGCAGAAUAAGAUCUACUCUUGAAUGGAUUUUUAACAAAUUAGAAUUUAUUGAAAAAUGGAUUGGACUGAGUCAAGUCCUCAAUCAUAUAGAGAAUUAUGUUGUGGGUUACUACUCAUUGUCGUGGCGGAGAUGAUGUAUGUUUGAUAGGAUGCAUUUGAAUGCGUAAGUAAUGAGGAAAUAGCUAUUAAGUGAACCAAGAAACGUCUUAAAGAUGAACGUGGAAACAUAUGUAGGAUAGCUGUCUUUAAUCCAUUUUCUAGAAGUUGUUGGGACUCCGGGACCAACAGAUCAAAAACGAGAUGGUCGAUGUUUGUUACCUGAUGAAUUGUUAACAAUUCUAUUGUCUUCUCUAAUAAAGAAAAUUUAUCAUAUCCACCAA
rnacentral:lncRNA from 1 species